CUCCCUUUAAGUGCUAAUAAAGUCUUUGUUAAUUAAGUUUAAUGUCUUUUCAAAGUAAAAAACAUCUUACCCACAAUACUAUUUUUACUGAAUAUCUCUUUCAAAAAACUCAUCCUGAUAUCUCUGGCUAACAACAAUACAUUUGUAUCAAACUACGGCUAUGUAAAACAAUCGCCAUUUGUGCGAUUCAGUAAAAUGAGGAAGUUCUCCAGAAGAGGAAGGAUGUAUCUUGUACGUAUCUGUAAGCUUCUAAACUGUGAAUGGUUUGACUUAAAAUGGUCAGGGCACAUUUUAUUGCUUUAUCUUUUAAAUAUAAUUAGAAAAUUUUUUGUUGUAGUUACAAGACUUUUUUCUAGACUUUUUUUCUAGUUUUUAUAUACGUACAAAGUAUUUAGAUAAUGUUAAUUUUGGACAAUAAUAUUAAUAAAAUGGAAACAACUGUGGAAACAAAGACACCUACAUCUUGGAUGCCCUUGAGACGAGCCUAUGAUGAACAUUCCUCUUCUCAGUGAGGGAGAGAAGGCCGAUCUGACAUGUUCAGCUCCUUUUCCUUGUCCUAAAAAUCCUCCAAAUAUAACAUGGUGGAUCAGGAAAAGAGACGGAAAAAUCAGUGAUUUAAAGGAAAACAUCACUCUGAGCCCCUCCAAAAACCUUUCCCUCUCAACUUUGACUCUAACUCCAACCUGUGACGAUCACAAUGCCACUAUAGGAUGUGACGUGAGCUACGGAAGCAAAAUCAUCAGUACAAAUAGGACCCUCGAAGUCACGUAUAUAUUCAUGAACCAAGCGUCUGUUGGAUCUGUGACGAUAACCACUGUGACAAAGGAGCAUGCUGGGGUUUACAGCUGUAUGAGGACAUUUCAGAACAAGACCCUGAAUGCAUCCAUCACUUUAAAUAUAAUUUAUAAAGCGGCUAUUCAAGUGCAUGUGGACAUCAAAAUGAUAACAGCAUUUCUGAUGGGAAUGUCAACUUCAGCAGUCAUCUUCUCUGUGGUUUUGUGCAGUCAAGGGUCCUGGAAAAGGUAUCACCUACAUAUAUAAGUGAACAGCUAAAAUGUGCAACACUUUCAACAAAAUGCAUAGAUUUUAUAUACUGAUCAUAUAAAGGUGUUUGGAAUGGUUGUUUGAUUAAGUUUCUGGUUGAUGAGAAAUCAUGUGAUUGUGAAUACUGUCAUCCGUAAACAGACACUCAUUAUUUUAAUAUGACACUCAAAUAAUUUACUGUGCUUUGAUUCUGUCUUAUUGCCUACACUCUUAAAAAUAAAGGUGCUUUAAAGGUUCUUAACAGUGAUGCCAUAGAAGAACCAUUUUUGGUUCCACAAAGAACCAUUCAGUCAAAGGUUCUUUAAAGAACCAUCUCACUGACAUUUUUAUAAUCUGAAGAACUUUCUUUUGUCACAAAGAAACUUUUGUAAAGCAGAAAGGUUCCUCAGAUGUUAAAGGUUCUUUAUGGAAACAUUGAGACCAAAAGGUUAUUCUAUCUCUGGCAUUGGGAAGCACAUUUAUUCAUAAGAGUGUACAUAAUAUCUUUUCCUGCAGGGACAAGACAUAUGAAGUGGUGGCCACGAACACAUACACUGAAGUUGUACUGGAAUAUUUUCAAGGAAAAAGUUUAAGGAGAUACUGUAUGAAAGAGUGAGAUUAAUCAUUUGGAUUAAAUGAUUUGAAUUGAUAAUUUAUAGUUUUUUUUUUAUUAUCAUGUUGGAUAUAGAUUUUUCUGAAAUUGUAAAAUAUAAUAUAUUAAGUCACUUCUUCACAAAUUUAGAAACUUAAUUCUGUCUGAGUUUAUCUUUGUUAUUGCUGAAUGAUUUCUCCUUGUUCAGAGAUAUUUUCUUUGACAAAUAAAACAGUGUUAAUUAAUUCAAAGUGUUUAAAUUUCAUUCUUUCAGUGUUUUAGACUUUAGAGGAUGUUAUAGGACCAAAGGGAAUUUUAGACUACUCAGGUUUACAGUACGUAUAUGAUAAAUGCAGAUGAGAAGCUGUGAAGAACAGAAUAUAUUCAUUUAUUUAUUCAUUCAUUCAUUCAUUUAUAUACUUAUAUAUAAUUACUAGUAAUACUUUAGGUACAUUUGGUAUAAGAUUAAGGAUGAAUUUGUGCAUAUUGUGAAUUAAAAUGAAUAAAAUAAACAGAAUUUCCUGACAUUCCAGGAAGCCUUUUAGUAAAAUAAGUCUAUUUUUUUGUGUGUGUGUUCAAAUACAUUAUUCACCAUUUUUCUUUGUUCCUUAUUCACUUAAAUUCCUUAAAAUUAUUUAAUGAAAAGAAAAAAAAAAAACACAUUAUAUUUCCUUUGAUGCCCAUGAGCAGUAUCAUGAGGUGAGUGGGCAGAGCUUCAUUGCAGUUCUUUAUGUAUUUAGGACGAAUGCCGUUUUUAAGGCCCUGUCCCAAUAAUAGAUGUGUAUAUAUGUGGUCACAAUACCCACACUAGUGAUAAUAGCAACUUGAGAGCAUGGACAUUUAACAGGAAGUAAGUGCACCAGACUGUCCCAGGUCUGAACAAUGUUCAGUGCCCUCAACACACUAAAUCCAUACAUGCCCUGAAAUCCCAAGAUUUUAAGGGAAAACUUUAAAGUGUAAAUUAAUUUAAUUAGACAUUACAUAUAUUUUCUGUAAUAAAUAAAGUAUUGAAAAUUUUUUGGUUUUGAUAUGAGUGUGUGUAUUUUAUAAAACAUUUGUAGCUGCUUUUUUUCACUAAAAUAAAAGCACCACAAUUAAACUGUGUCUUAGGAACUACUGAGCAGAAACCUAUUUAUUAUUAUUAUUAUUAUUAUUAUUUUAAGUGCAAAUAAUAAAAUGAACAAAAAUGUGUAAUUAAAACACAGUAAAAACUUUACUUGCAUUUAUAUAAUGCUAUGUUGUAAGUGUGCCCCAUUAGUUAAUCAGAAGUUCUGUGCACUUGUGGUCCUUACACCCACUUGAACCAAAUAAAGGAAAUACAUCAGACAAGUGAUCAGUGCAAAGACUACAACGUGUGGGUAUUGGGACCAGCCCAAAUGCAAUGUGGUGAUCUGUUCACAAACAACUUUGUACUCUAUUCAAGCUUGUAUUAGAGCUGACCACUUGUGACCAGAUCAUGAAAUGCAUAUUAAUACCAGAUGGAAAGGCUUUAAAAGUGAAUCAGCUCCUUCCCCUCUUUUAAAUCAAAAGCCUUAAGUAGACAUUUUUUUUUCUUCUCUUGAUGCUCUCUACAUUUCUGGCCAUAGAUGCUUUCUUUCUUGUAUCCUGCUAUCCUGUUCCACUGUUUACUAUAGUGAUCUUUCAAAUACACAAACCCCC
ensembl:lncRNA